AUGGAGGCACACGGCGGCGCCGGUGGAGUUCCCGCCCCCUUCUUCUUUCUGAGCCUUUAUUCUUCCUGUCCUUUCACUGGAUGAUCAAGUUAUAUGAGGCACUUGAAUCUAGAAGUAAUAUUGGCAUUGAAAUGUUUAUCCCUAGAUUUCGGUUAAUACACCAGAUAAAAUAAUUUCGUUUGAAUUGAAAAGAAUACAGUUUCCACUCACCGUAUGUUUUUGCCAUGGCAAUAUAUAAAAGUUAAGGACAGUUACUAU
rnacentral:lncRNA from 1 species